UGUUUAACAAAGAGAAGCAAAGCCGCGAGGUAGAGCAAAUCUCAAAAAAACAAUCUCAGUUCAGACUGCAGGCUGCAACUCGCCUGCACGAAGUCGGAAUUGCUAGUAAUCGUAGGUCAGCAUACUACGGUGAAUACGUUCCCGGGCCUUGUACACACCGCCCGUCAAACCAUGAGAGUUGGCAACACCCGAAGUCGGUAGUCUAACCGCAAGGAGGACGCCGCCGAAGGUGGGGUUGGUGAUUAGGGUUAAGUCGUAACAAGGUAUC
rnacentral:rRNA from 1 species